GCGGCAGCAGUGCCCGCGGCAGCAGUGCCCGCUGCUCCCACUGCCGGAGCCCACGAGUCCGGCUCCCACGCCUCGCUCUGCAGCUGGAGAAACAUCUGUGUGAGCUGCUUCCCGAGGAGGCCCUGUGCUGGUUGCUGAUCUCCUGCCCAGCUGUGAGGAGAAGGGACUAUUUUGGCUGGCUUUAUGAACGUGGCCUGGAUGGAGCCCUCCUCCACUGCCUUGGGGAAGACGAAGGGUAAUGCUCCCAGCUGGUACAGUGACACUAAUCCCUGGGGAUGGUGAGGGCACGGAUGAGACUUCCCCACAGAGGUAUCCCACCAGCACUGGGCUGUGGAGCACCUGGCAGAGAACAGAACCCCACUGCAGGCUGGUACAGUGGCACUAAUCCCUGGGGAUGGUGAGGGCAUGGAAGAAACUUCCCCACAGAAGUAUCCCACCAGCACUGGGCUGUGGAGCACCUGGCAGAGAACAGAAUCCCACUGCACAUCUGGCAGGUGCAGACAGGGGCUCACCCUUCCCAGCAAGGUGGGCAUGCAGUCCAGCUCCCAUGGGACCUGAAGGGAGGCCAGGAGGGGGUUGUUUGUACAGCUUCACAUCACAAGCACUGCCCUGAGUGACAGCCAGUGCGUGCAGAGCCCAUGUGUGUCAGCAAACCCUACAAACAGAGGGGGCAGGGUGGACAAAGCCAACCCAGCCACUGCUUUGUCCAUCACUAUCUGUUAUCAUCACCAGCCACACUCCAGCCAAUUCUGGCUGGUUAAAAACUUUUCCUUUGGGAUCCUUCUGCUUUCUCUGUUUUGGAUGGAAAAUGUUUUGUUUUUAAUUAAAGAUGCCUUUGUGUGGAAAAAUAAAA